rnacentral:rRNA from 1 species
GAUGAACGCUAGCUACAGGCUUAACACAUGCAAGUCGAGGGGCAGCAUGAACAUAGCUUGCUAUGUUUGAUGGCGACCGGCGCACGGGUGCGUAACACGUAUCCAAUCUGCCCGUUACUCGGGGAUAGCCUUCUGAAAGGAAGAUUAAUACCCGAUAGCAUUCAUUGGCGGCAUCGCUUUUGAAUUAAAGAUUUAUCGGUAACGGAUGAGGAUGCGUACGAUUAGCUAGUUGGCGGGGUAACGGCCCACCAAGGCGACGAUCGUUAGGGGUUCUGAGAGGAAGGUCCCCCACACUGGAACGGAGACACGGUCCAGACUCCUACGGGAGGCAGCAGUGAGGAAUAUUGGUCAAUGGGCGAGAGCCUGAACCAGCCAAGUAGCGUGAAGGAUGACUGCCCUACGGGUUGUAAACUUCUUUUGUUUGGGAAUAAAAGACGCUACGUGUAGCGUUCUGCAUGUACCUUACGAAUAAGCAUCGGCUAAUUCCGUGCCAGCCGCCGCCGUAAUAC